AUGAACGCUGGCGGCGUGCCUAAUACCUGCAAGUCGAGCGAACGGACGAGAAGCUUGCUUCUCUGAUGUUAGCGGCGGACCGGUGAGUAACACGUGGAUAACCUACCUAUAAGACUGGGAUAACUUCGGGAAACCGGAGCUAAUACCGGAUAAUAUUUUGAACCGCAUGGUUCAAAAGUGAAAGACGGUCUUGCUGUCACUUAUAGAUGGAUCCGCGCUGCAUUAGCUAGUUGGUAAGGUAACGGCUUACCAAGGCAACGAUGCAUAGCCGACCUGAGAGGGUGAUCGGACACACUGGAACUGAGACACGGUCCAGACUCCUACGGGAGGCAGCAGUAGGGAAUCUUCCGCAAUGGGCGAAAGCCUGACGGAGCAACGCCGCGUGAGUGAUGAAGGUCUUCGGAUCGUAAAACUCUGUUAUUAGGGAAGAACAUAUGUGUAAGUAACUGUGCACAUCUUGACGGUACCUAAUCAGAAAGCCACGGCUAACUACGUG
rnacentral:rRNA from 1 species